UACGUAGGCAGCAAGCGUUGUUCGGAAUUACUGGGCGUAAAGAGUGUGUAGGCGGUGCUCCAAGUCUGGUGUGAAAUCUCCCGGCUUAACUGGGAGGGUGCAUUAGAAACUGGAAUGUUAGAGGAUGGGAGAGGUAAGCGGAAUUCCUGGUGUAGCGGUGAAAUGCGCAGAUAUCAGGAGGAACACCGGUGGCGAAGGCGGUUCUCUGGGCCUGUUCUGACGCUGAGGAGCGAAAGCGUGGGGAGCGAACAGG
rnacentral:rRNA from 1 species